rnacentral:lncRNA from 1 species
ACUAAACAAUCUGUCAGUAUACCUAAACUACCUUUUCUGGUGGUGUUGUGCAAAAUCCGAGACCACCGCGAGGUUCGGCUCACAAUUCCGACCCUACCCAUCCACUUUUUGUUCGACUCCGACAACUUUGAUUUUUUCCGGCGACCUACAGUGAUUUUUCCGGCAGCUACAAUACUUUCCGGCCAAUAUUUCUUCAGGACAGUGUGCUCCUACUUGAAUUCCGAGCCUAUCCAUAUUUUUACUUUUCAAUUCCGACAACUUUGAAUU